CGAGAAGACCCUAUGGAGCUUAAAACACGUAAGUUACAUCCAAAUAUGUUUGAUUCACCCCCGGGUAUAAAAAUUAAUCGAUCUCUGACUUAACUUGUUUUUGGUUGGGGCGACCAAGG
rnacentral:rRNA from 1 species